GGCCAAAGACGACGCAGGUUAUAUUUAGGAAACAGACUUCAGAACAGCAAUACUUCAGCAAGUACUUGUCCUGGAGCAAAUACUUCAGAACAGCAGGCUGAAUGAAGAGAAAGUAAUUCAGAUAAAAAGGUAUCGUCUCUACAGUUCCUGAAGUGCAGAGACUGCAUCUCUUCCAUCCUGCAUCACAUGCGUGCCCAGAGUUGGACCCAACAGACACUCAGCAAAUCAUGAUUACCAAGUACUGAGGCUGCAGGAUGACUAAGAUCUGCUUCUUCAAAGAGGCCAUUGCUAACAUUCCUGAACAGUGUCCCUUUGUUAUGGCUG
rnacentral:lncRNA from 1 species